rnacentral:rRNA from 1 species
CGCGUAGGCGGAACAUACAGUCAGAUGUGAAAUUCCCGGGCCCAACCCUGGGGGCUGCAUUUGAUACGUGUGAUCUUGAGUGAGGAAGAGGGUCGUGGAAUUCCCAGUGUAGAGGUGAAAUUCGUAGAUAUUGGGAAGAACACCGGUGGCGAAGGCGGCGACCUGGUCCUUUACUGACGCUGAGGCGCGAAAGCGUGGGGAGCAAACA